rnacentral:lncRNA from 1 species
GAAGAUUUUAAAAAAUUAUCAGAUUGCAUUUUUAUUGAAGAUGAAACAUUGUUUCUUCGUUUUGUCAAUACUAGAUAGCUUACUCUUUCUUCUUCACUUAUAAAGGUUCUAUUAAAGUGGGAAGACACCAAGAAAUAUUUUUUGGAAUAUGUUCCAAAACAAAAGGAAUAUAAAAAGACACUGACAAACAACUAGCGUUAUAUUCAGAUUCAAAGAAGUUUUAAGGAAACUGAAAAUGAGUUACUUGUGUCUAUCAAAUUCCUUAUUGGUUUAGCUUCCUUGUUUGAAUAAUACUUGACAAUAAUUCAAGAUGAAGGACCACUUGUUCAUAUUUUAUUUUAUAAAAUGAAAAAUUUUUAAUAUCUUUAAUGAAAUGUUUCCUUCAACCAACUGCUGUUAAUGGAAAGCUUACCAAAGAUCUUUUAAAAAUUGGUUCUUCUGAUUCAACUAUCUACUUUGAUUUGAAUAAAAUGGACUUUGGCGAGGAAGCAAAAAACCAGCUGUUUAGCUAAAAAAUGUCAAUCGGAAGAAGCAAAAGUGGAUGGCGUGGUGCCAGUAAAAUCGUAUCGAUAUGAUCUAGUUUCAAUUAAGUUAGUUGCAGACUGUUUACCGUUUGACUACUGUCCCGAUCUAACCUAGUGGGUUCAAAAAGAAGGAACCGCGCUGGAAACAUGAGUGGAUUAAAUGGAUCAGCCCUUUAUGAAUUAAUAGUCGAAGUGGUAACCAGCUAGAAGUCGUAACCUG